GAGAUAGCUGGUUCUCCCCGAAAUAGCUUUAGGGCUAGCGUCGGAAAGAACCUUAGUGAAGGUAGAGCACUGAAUGUGUGAUGGCCCCAUCCCGGGGUACUGAAUACAAUCAAACUGCGAAUGUCAUUAAGGAUGUCCGGCAGUCAGACUGUGAGUGAUAAGGUCCAUGGUCAAGAGGGAAACAGCCCAGACCGCCAGUUAAGGUCCCAAAAUACAGGCUAAGUGGAAAAGGAUGUGGGGAUGCCCAGACAACUAGGAGGUUGGCUCAGAAGCAGCCAUCCUUUAAAGAGUGCGUAACAGCUCACUAGUCGAGUGACCCUGCGCCGAAAAUGUACCGGGGCUAAGCCUGAUACCGAAACUGCGGAUUGUAGGAAACUAUAGUGGUAGGGGAGCGUUGUAUACGAGCAGAAGCCGUACCGUGAGGAGCGGUGGAUUGUAUAGAAGUGAGAAUGCCGGUGUGAGUAGCGAGAUGUAGGUGAGAAUCCUACACACCGAAAGCCCAAGGAUUCCAGGGGAAGGUUCGUCCGCCCUGGGUAAGUCGGGACCUAACGCGAGGCCGAAAGGCGUAGUGGAUGGAAAGCAGGCGAAAGAUUCCUGCACCCGUAUAUGGAGCGAAGGAGUGACGGAGACGGAUAGUGUGACCCUCUUAAUGGAUUGAGGGCGAAGCGAAGCGGCUGGUUACCAGGCAAAUCCGGUAACCAAAAGGCUAGAGCGUGACAGGUAAGCGAAAUCCAAGGAAAGUAGCGAAGCACAUGAUGACGGCUUCCAGGAAAAGCUUCUGGCAAUGCAUAUGCGGCCCGUACCAAAACCGACACAGGUGGGCAGGGAGAGAAUCCCGAGGUGAGCGAGAGAACUGUUGCCAAGGAACUCGGCAAAAUGACUCCGUAAGUUAGCGAGAAGGAGUGCUUAAGCAAUUAAGCCGCAGUGAAGAGGCCCAAGCGACUGUUUAACUAAAACACAGCUCUCUGCGAAGUCGCAAGACGAAGUAUAGGGGGUGACACCUGCCCGGUGCUGGAAGGUUAAGAGGAUCUGUUAAGAGCGAUCUGAAGCAGUGAUCCGAAGCCCCAGUGAACGGCGGCCGUAACUAUAACGGUCCUAAGGUAGCGAAAUUCCUUGUCAGGUAAGUUCUGACCCGCACGAAAGGGGUAACGAUUUGGGCGCUGUCUCGGCAGCAGACUCGGUGAAAUCUUAGUACCUGUGAAAAUGCAGGUUACCCGCAACUAGACGGAAAGACCCCAUGGAGCUUUACUGCAGCCUGAUAUUGAAUUCUGGUCAUACAUGUACAGGAUAGGUGGGAGACAAAGAGACGUGCACGCCAGUGUACGAGGAGUCGACGUUGGGAUACCACUCUUGUGUGACCGGGGUUCUAACCUGGUAUCGAGAACAGGUACGGGGAGAGUGUCAGGUGGGCAGUUUGACUGGGGCGGUCGCCUCCCAAAGAGUAACGGAGGCGCCCAAAGGUACGCUCAGAUUGGAUGGAAACCAAUCGACGAGUGCAAUUGCAGAAGCGUGCUUGACUGUGAGACAGACAAGUCGAACAGGGACGAAAGUCGGGAAUAGUGAUCCGGCGGUGCCGAAUGGAAGGGCCGUCGCUCAACGGAUAAAAGCUACCCUGGGGAUAACAGGCUGAUCUCGCCCAAGAGUUCACAUCGACGGCGAGGUUUGGCACCUCGAUGUCGGCUCAUCGCAUCCUGGAGCUGGAUUCGGUUCCAAGGGUUGGGCUGUCCGCCCAUUAAAGCGGUACGCGAGCUGGGUUCAGAACGUCGUGAGACAGUUCGGUCCCUAUCUGUUGUGGGCGAAGGAGAUCUGCGGAGAGCUGUCCUCAGUACGAGAGGACCGGGAUGGACCUACCGCUGGUGCACCGGUUGUUCCGCCAGGGGCAUAGCCGGGUAGCUAAGUAGGGAAAGGAUAAGCGCUGAAAGCAUCUAAGCACGAAGCCUACUCCAAGAUGAGAUCUCCCAUUCG
rnacentral:rRNA from 1 species